AACGUAGGUGGCAAGCGUUAUCCGGAUUUACUGGGCGUAAAGGGUGUGCAGGCGGGGGUGCAAGUGGGGUAUGAAAUCUCCCGGCUUAACCGGGAGGGGUUAUGCCAGACUGCAAUUCUAGAGGACGAGAGAGGGGGGUGGAAUUCCGGGUGUAGUGGUGAAGUGCGUAGAGAUCAGCAGGAACACCAAGGACGAAGGUACCUACCUGGGCAGUAUCUGACACUCAAGUGCGACAGCGUGGGGAGCGAACCGG
rnacentral:rRNA from 1 species